rnacentral:rRNA from 1 species
CCUACGGGGGGCUGCAGUCGAGAAUCAUUCACAAUGGGGGAAACCCUGGUGGUGCGACGCCGCGUGGGGGAAUGAAGGUCUUCGGAUUGUAAACCCCUGUCAUGUGGGAGCAAAUUAAAAAGAUAGUACCACAAGAGGAAGAGACGGCUAACUCUGUGCCAGCAGCCGCGGUAAUACAGAGGUCUCAAGCGUUGUUCGGAAUCACUGGGCGUAAAGCGUGCGUAGGCUGUUUCGUAAGUCGUGUGUGAAAGGCGCGGGCUCAACCCGCGGACGGCACAUGAUACUGCGAGACUAGAGUAAUGGAGGGGGAACCGGAAUUCUCGGUGUAGCAGUGAAAUGCGUAGAUAUCGAGAGGAACACUCGUGGCGAAGGCGGGUUCCUGGACAUUAACUGAUGCUGAGGCACGAAGGCCAGGGGAGCGAAAGGGAUUAGAUACCCGUGUAGUC